GGAAUUAUAGUUUAAUCAAAUCGUAAAGCUGUUAACUUUGAGAUGCUAAUUUAUUAGCUUAUUCCU
rnacentral:tRNA from 1 species